AAAAUGUUCGUGUCAUUCGCCUUGCCAAUGGACAAACAAAUGAUGGUCUAAAUGACUAGUCACCCUGAUCUCCAACGAUACCAUGGGAUAUUACUUGAAAUAAUAUUACUGAUGCUGUAAGACCACCAAGCAAACAUAACAUUUUGAAGCACGUUCCAGCGUAGGGACACGGGUACCAAAAAGAGCGUGAGUAGUUAACCGGCGUGCAUAGUAGCUUGCUGUACGUUUGUUAAGUCCGCUCUGUAGAAAAUUUUUCUACAACCGACAAGUUACUGGAAUAAAUUAAAUCCUUACUAAUUAUAGUAAGUUUUUAUAACAUGAAAGUUCAAUAAAAUGAAAAACAGAAAAAUUACUAUUGCGUGAA